UACGUAGGGGGCAAGCGUUGUCCGGAAUCAUUGGGCGUAAAGCGCGUGUAGGCGGCCCGGUAAGUCCGCUGUGAAAGUCCAGGGCUCAACCCUGGGAUGCCGGUGGAUACUGUCGGGCUCGAGUCCGGAAGAGGCGAGUGGAAUUCCGUGGUGUAGCGGUGAAAUGCGCAGAUAUCAGGAGGAACACCGAUGGCGAAGGCAGCUCGCUGGGACGUGAACUGACGCUGAGACGCGAAAGCGUGGGGAGCAAACAGG
rnacentral:rRNA from 1 species